CUGACACAUCACCAUUAACGACGUCUACCAUAAUACCACCAACGACGUCUACCAUAAAACCACCAACGACGUCUACUACAACACAAUCAACAACACCCGAACAAGGCGACCCAAUUUGCGAUGCGUUCGACGGCAAUUGUCGUGUAACCUGUGAAAAGGGGGAAUCUAAUUUUGUAUCGUGUACGAACAGUGACAGAUGCUGUGUCCAGCUGUGAUAAACUAUAAGUACGAUGAUUUAAAAUCCAUAGACACACACACACGUCUUCU